GAUGAACGCUAGCGGCAGGCUUAACACAUGCAAGUCGAGGGGUAUAGGGAGCUUGCUUCCUAGAGACCGGCGCACGGGUGCGUAACGCGUAUGCAAUCUACCUUUCACAGAGGGAUAGCCCAGAGAAAUUUGGAUUAAUACCUCAUAGUAUAGCAGCUUCGCAUGAAACCACUAUUAAAGUCACAACGGUGAAAGAUGAGCAUGCGUCCCAUUAGCUAGUUGGUAAGGUAACGGCUUACCAAGGCAACGAUGGGUAGGGGUCCUGAGAGGGAGAUCCCCCACACUGGUACUGAGACACGGACCAGACUCCUACGGGAGGCAGCAGUGAGGAAUAUUGGGACAAUGGGACGCGAAAGCCUGAGUCCAGCCAUGCCGCGUGCAGGAUGACGGUCCUAUGGAUUGUAAACUGCUUUUGUACAGGUAGAAACACUGGUUCGUGAACCAGCUUGACGGUACUGUAAGAAUAAGGAUCGGCUAACUCCGUG
rnacentral:rRNA from 1 species